AGAGUUUGAUCAUGGCUCAGAACGUACGCUGGCGGCACGCCUAACACAUGCAAGUCGAACGCAGUAGCAAUACUGAGUGGCGAACGGGUGAGUAUAAUGUGGGUAUCUGCCUUUUGGUUUGGAAUAACACGAGGAAACUUGUGCUAAUACCGGAUAAGCCCUUACGGGGAAAGUUUUAACGCCGAAAGAUGAGCCCGCACUUGAUUAGCUAGUUGGUAAGGUAAUGGCUUACCAAGGCUACGAUCAAUAGCUGAUCUGAGAGGAUGAUCAGCCACAUUGGGACUGAGACACGGCCCAGACUCCUACGGGAGGCAGCAGUGGGGAAUCUUGCACAAUGGGGGAAACCCUGAUGCAGCGAUGCCGCGUGAGUGAAGAAGGCCUUUGGGUUGUAAAGCUCUUUCGUCGGGGAAGAAAAUGACUGUACCCGAAUAAGAAGGUCCGGCUAACUUCGUGCCAGCAGCCGCGGUAAUACGAAGGGACCUAGCGUAGUUCGGAAUUACUGGGCUUAAAGAGUUCGUAGGUGGUUAAAAUAGUUGGUGGUGAAAUCCCAGAGCUUAACUCUGGAACUGCCAUCAAAACUUUUUAGCUAGAGUAUGAUAGAGGAAAGCAGAAUUUCUAGUGUAGAGGUGAAAUUCGUAGAUAUUAGAAAGAAUACCAAUUGCGAAGGCAGCUUUCUGGAUCAUUACUGACACUGAGGAACGAAAGCAUGGGUAGCGAAGAGGAUUAGAUACCCUCGUAGUCCAUGCCGUAAACGAUGUGUGUUAGACGUUGGAAAUUUAUUUUUCAGUGUCGCAGCGAAAGCGAUAAACACACCGCCUGGGGAGUACGACCGCAAGGUUAAAACUCAAAUGAAUUGACGGGGACCCGCACAAGUAGUGGAGCAUGUGGUUUAAUUCGAAGAUACGCGCAGAACCUUACCAACACUUGACAUGUUCGUCGCGACUCUAAGAGAUUAGAGUUUUCGGUUCGGCCGGACGAAACACAGGUGCUGCAUGGCUGUCGUCAGCUCGUGUCGUGAGAUGUUGGGUUAAGUCCCGCAACGAGCGCAACCCUCACUUUUAGUUGCCAUCAUUAAGUUGGGCACUCUGAAAGAACUGCCAGUGAUAAGCUGGAGGAAGGUGGGGAUGACGUCAAGUCCUCAUGGCCCUUACGUGUUGGGCUACACACGUGCUACAAUGGCAUUUACAAUAGGAAGCAAGAUGGCGACAUUAAGCAAAUCCUAAAAAAAUGCCUCAGUUCGGAUUGUACUCUGCAACUCGAGUACAUGAAGCUGGAAUUACUAGUAAUCGCGGAUCAGCGCGCCGCGGUGAAUACGUUCCCGGGUCUUGUACACACCGCCCGUCACACCAUGGGAGUUGGUUCUACCUUAAGGCAAAGUUUAAAACCUUUGACCACGGUAUAGUCAGCGACUGGGGUGAAGUCGUAACAAGGUAGCC
rnacentral:rRNA from 1 species